AUUUUCACAGAAUGGUUUUUAGAUGUAUUGUGUGCACCAUGAUCUAAAUGUCUUUCUUACACCCAGCCUGAGAGUGAAAUUCCAGAUAAAGCACUGACUGUUCCUCUCUCCCUCCCAGCGGUGUGUGUGUUCCUGGGUGCUGCUCAGCAGGCGCUUCUGCUACCCAGUCCUUGGUCUCCUGCAGUGCUGACUGGAUGGGUCCUGUGGAUCGUGCUCACAGACCUGCUGCUACUAAUCCACUCCUGUAGACGCAGAAGUAGAGGAAAUAAAAACAGCGAUGACAAAGAGAACAUUUUGUUUGUUCAGUUCGAGAGGUGGCAGCAUGGAGAGAGUCCCAAAGUCAAGAAGAUGGUGUUGGUAGUGUUCCUAAUAGGAAACACAGGGUUCCUGGCUGCCUUUAUAAAAGCUAUUUCAAAUGUAUAAUUAUGACAAAUGAUUGCCAUAUAUGAGACUAUCUUGUAAAUGUUGUGUAUGUUUUUACAUUGUACUGCCUUUUCAUCUAGUGCCACCAUCAGGGGUUAAAAUUUCCACUAUGACACAGAUCAAUGACAAGGUAUUUAAAAUCUAAAUAUAAUGGCCAAACUGUCCUAUAGUUAGUUGGUAUGUUAAUGCUUCCGAUUAUUCUCCAGCAUCAAACCUAAAUUUCACCUGCUCACAAAAACUAGGCCAGAUUUCAGUUAAAAUUCACUGAGCACAUUCACCACAAAAAUGAGCCAUUUCCAUUCUGGACAGCUCUUCAACUUCUAGUGCCAACCUCAGGCUAAAUUGUCAUCUUGGCAGACAAAUAAUCUCAUAAUAAGCAGAGCAUGUUAUGUACCCAAACAAAUAAAGGUAGCCAGCAUUCUUCAUAUACAUCUUUUAUUGUUGCACUAAUCUCUUCAAUACUUGCAUGAAGAAUACAAAGUGAAAAGUCCUUGCAUAUUUAGUGUAGUUCAGUUAAGAGCCCAGUAAACCCAAAAAAUCAAUGGCAGGGACUUUUCACACCAUGUUCAUACAUCAGCAAGUAAUCCUUGAGAUUUGUAAGCUAUACUCUAACAGUGAAGCAUACAAACAUGAAACGUAAAACAAUGCUGUUUAAGGUCAGUUCAAUCCAAGGUCAAGAAAGUACCAAGCUCUUAUAACCUGCUUUUCAGAGUAGCUGGACAUAUCAAGGCUUUGUAAAUAAUGAUAAACAUUUCUUUAUUAAAAUCAGCAGAUACCACUUAAGAAAAUCUCUUUUGAAAAUGUCUUGUUUGUGGUCAUGCAUGUCACAAUAAAGGGAACCACAAAGAAAAGUGCUUUAAAAUGAAUACUGGCCUACAAAUGCCCUGAUACAUAAAAAUUGAAAGAAUGUUGGAAAGUAAAGUCAGAAUUUGAUUGAACAUUUACAAGAAGUAUAUGUGAGUACACUGUGGCCUCACUCUGUAUAAGUCAACAUUCAUUUAUAGUGCUAUUGUAUAAAGAAUAAAGUAGGUUAAUCUGCAGAAA